AUGGUAUUUUUUCCCGUAUUUCAAAUACUUCGUAUUGUACCCAAUAAAUUAUUGGGUGUUCUUCUAAUGGUUUCAGUACCGGCGGGAUUAUUAACAGUGCCUUUUUUGGAGAAUGUUGAUAAGUUCAAAAACCCAUUUUGGCGUAGCAACAACCGUCUUUUUGAUUGGUACUGUCAUGGCUCUUUGGUUGGGUAG